UUUUCUAUUUUCUAUCUUCCCGUGAAAUCUCCAAACAAACAUAUUCCUGCUUCUCGCCUCUCGCUGCUCUCUACUCACAAACCACGGUGCACUUGCUACUCGUUAUUCACCGUCGUUGGCCUUCCACCACCGGUUGCUCGACUGUCUUGUACUUAGAUUGUAUUUCUUGUUAAGCCGCCAUUUAAUCCUCCAACAGAGAUGAAGAUGAAAUUCAUAAUCUUCAUCGCCUAAGCCUUCAUCUGGAUUAAAUCAUCGGUUUGGGACUACCGUCGACACCCUUUCAUCAUCUCUGUUGCGAAACUGAUGGAGUAAAGCCACCGCGUCGGAGUUUCUCAUAUCUCUAUGAACAGAUUCUACUUGUGGUAAAAUUCCUUCUCUUACUGCUCCUGAAGGCAUUUCUGUUAGAAGCCUCUGUCAAGGUUGAUUUCAUAGCAGGAACAAAAACUAUAUCAUGCCUGGAAGCUACUAGGAAUCUUGUAAUCAAGUUUAAUCAGAACUUUUGUGGGGCAACUAAUGUCUCCUGAUGUCACAUUCUUCUUCGUCACGUGGACUGAGUUCUCUUUCUCCUUCAGUUUAUAGUUCUAGUCACAUUCCUCCAACAUAGAGUUAUUUUCUUCUGACAAAAAUAUAACUUUUUAUGAUUCAUCAUAUUGUUGCAUUGCAGCCUGACAUUGUUGCUCGUGGGGAUAAUAUUCUGGCUUCCUUGUCACCUGUUUAUUCUAGCCUAGAAUCUGAUUCAAGUCAAGAUGUGUAUCUGCUAUUAACUUCACAAUUGAAUCAGUAACUUCAACACCAUGCCCCCACAUAUCUGAUAUUGUCGCAUUUGCUGCAAAGACUAUCCACCCAACUUAGAGCCCCGCCGCAAUUAAAUCUUCCCUUGUCACAAUAGCUUCUCUAAAAAACGAAUGCAGUCAAUACAUUGGAGUCAAGGGAGUAUGUACAAAAAAGCUGGUCCAUUUGGUAAUUAUCAAUAAUUGUCAAUUAUAGCCUGUAGACUUGCCUCACUUAAGGUAAUCAAAAGAAAUAAUAGAACUCAAGUGGCAUAUAUCCUGAAAGUUUGUUUAUAACCAAUGAUUUCUCUUUGCCGUAGGUAUAUACAAGUUAGGAAGUGUAUUAUUCUUAGUAACUGUAGAAUUAAGUCAUGUUCUCCCCACUUCUAACUUCCUGCAAUCCAUUUUCAUGCCGAUUGGGUUAGAAUGUCUUGUACUGAAGCUUUUGUAUUCACAUGAUUUUUAUCAUGUAAUAAAAUAUUUUUAACUUA